rnacentral:misc_RNA from 1 species
UCUCCGUCGGUGAACCAGCGGAGGGAUCAUUACAGGACUCGCAAGACUCCUUCACCCUGUGAACCUCACUACAAGCACGUUGCUUCGGCGGGUGUCCCGGCGGGGGUUUUCCCUCGCCGGGGCGCACAGCCCGCCGGCAGCCUACUAUACUCUGUCUCUUUGCGUUGGCAUCUCGAGAAAAAACAAACAAGUUAAAACUUUCAACAACGGAUCUCUUGGUUCUG